GUGUGACUUAAGAAGAACAGCAUAUGCAGCCAUGAAAACACACCACAGAUGAUCGUUCCUAAAGUCAGCCAUGAAAGACAACAAGAUGAUCACACUCUUCUUCAUGACCUUUAAUAUCGUACUGGUCUCAGGUUCCUCUCUCAGUCACAAAGUCCAGCAGCGUCCAGCUUACAUUUACAAGAAACCAGUAGAAACAGCCCAAAUCCCCAAUUAACAAGUCACAGCCCUCUAACAUGUCCACCAGUGGUUUGUGAACUACCUUCUUGAAACCAGAAGCAGUCAUACAGGAGCACGACUUGGAGGCUACACCUGCCAUUGAAUGAGAGUUGCUGUUGUUCAUAUGGUUUCCAGGCCCCAUUGAAUACAAUGUUUUUUCAUCUAUUGACUCUAAGUGGGACCAUCAUGCUAUAAUGAGGAAGACUUGGAACCUGUGAUUGAGACUGUAAACGCCUUAGGAAAAUGGUCUAUGCCAGUUUAACCAACAUGAAAACAGAACAGAUUUACAUGUGGUGUCACUCCCACCUUCAACUCUUCAUGACGCUGUAACAAACGAGGACUCAAACACUUUCUGACCGACAUGGAUAUUACCACCAUCAAACAAGACCUUCUCAUAUUAUGUGUCCUUUUUCUGUGGACUUCAGGUCUGUCUGAUGGCAACGGUGUCAACCAAACACACGUACUAUGGAAACACACGGGGGAAAAUGCAACAAUAAACUGCAGCCACACCAAGGGUGUCUCCUAUUACCAGAUGUACUGGUACAGGCAGCUCCCGGGAGAGACGCUGAGGGAAAUACUGUUGAUGGUUUCAAAAACAAAGCCUGACUAUGAAAAUGGAUUCAGUGAAGAGAAGUUCUCAGCCACCAAGCCUGAUGCGCUCAGUGGGACAUUGACAGUAAAGAAUCUGGUGCCAGAAGACAAAGGCUUGUAUUUCUGUGCAGUCAGUGAACACAGUGACACACACUCACAUGGUAGAUUAACAAAAACCCCAGUGCAAUGCCAGCACUCCUCCAUCCUUCUCUCUCACAUGCUAUAGGGGGACCUCCAGCAUCAUAAAUACUCCCAGUUGCUUUUUGAUUUCCUGCCAGACAUUUGAAUACAGCUGCAGAAUCAAACGUCACAAACUGCAGCGACACUCCCAUCAACAACUCUUCAGAUCUC